rnacentral:lncRNA from 1 species
CGAUGUGUACUAGUAGCUUAGCUUGUACUUGUUGCUGAGACCUGAGAAAUCAUAUAAUUAUUAUUUAGCCCGGCCGGCCUGGUGCAGGCGGGCGUGUGCAUAUAUAUCCAUGGAUCGGGAAACGACGACGAUGGAGAGACGACGAGAGGCAGGCAUGCAUGCAUGCAUGCAUGGCGACGAUGAGAUGAGAUAGAUCAGGAGGAGCACUGGAAUCCCGAGGGGACGCGCCUGCCGCAGUAGUUGACGAGGAGGCUGAGGUUGAUGGGGAGGUUGAGGUUGAUGCCCAGGAUGUUGGCUCGCAGCGCGGUGCAGAGACACACCGCCGCCUCAAGGUCCGCCAGCCCCUGGAUCAGCGUGCAGCACGGCGUCCUCGGCGGUGUCCCCAGGUUCACGUUGAUCAGCCCGUUCAGCACGUUGGCGCACACGCCCAACUUCAGCGUGUCCACAGGGCAACGACCGCGCGUCCCGCCGCCGCCGCCGCCGCCGCCGCCGCCUCCUCCGCCGCUCCCUCCUCCACCACUGCCGCCCCCACCGCUCCCUCCGCCGCCUCCGCUCCCACCACCACCAGAUCCUCCGCCUCCCCCGCCUCCACCUCCCCCGCCACCACCGCCUGGUGGACUAGGGCAGGAGCCGCCGCACCUGCAGCCACAUGCGUCGGCGAAACCGAACAAGAGGAGGUUCAGGGCCAGCAGCGAGGCCACCAAGGCCACUUUCUUCGCCAUCUCGCUACCACCACGUACUCCUACGUACGUACGCAGCACACAGCAGUCGUAGCUUGGUUUCUAGCGUACCUGCAGAUCAGACUGCAGGUCGCUAGUGUGUGUGGUACGGUGUGGGUGUGUCUCUGCUGAUCUGCUGCCUGGAACUGCAACUUGUGAGCGGAUCGCAGCAGCUUGCUGGGGGUGCUAGCUAUUUAUAGCCGGCCGAAGAGCACAGCGCAGCAGGAGCCCUAUUAUGAUGAUUAGUACUAGUAUUAAUUAUAUAGCUAGCUAGGCGACGAGCAUCAUGUGAGGGUACAAGAGAUGAUCGAGAUGUAUAUCGACACGGCGGACGAGUUGCCUCUAGCUAGAAUGAAGUGUAUAGUACUAGUAUACCGUCGCAGACUGUAUGUGCGUAGAAUAUAUGGACAGUACGGAUGGUCAUCGAUCAGGGCUCAUGCAUAGUCAGUCUUCUGAAUGAUAGAAAAGCUAGGCGCGCGGUGAGUAGCAGCCAGUGCGUGGUGUCGGCUUGAGCAUAUGGCACGGCGUGACCUACAACAUCCGGUCCUAGAAAGGUGAAAAGCUAGCUAGCUGGCACGAGGAAGAAGACAAUGGGGUGGGCUUUGGAAGCUUGUGUUUGUGUCCCGGCCGGGUGUGUCACGUUAUAGUGCUUUGGAAAGACGGGUGUACUGCAUGCAUGCAUGCUUUGCAAUUGCCAUGGCUACAGCACUCACUGCACAGUCAUCAUCACUUAUUAUUAGCUUGUAGUAGUGGUGCUGUAAAGCAGAAAGUAGCUAAGCUUUCAUUUCACAAUCAGCCACACGUACGUACAGUGAAAUAGCAAGAAGAACUCCGAUGUAUCCUCCAGCAGGCAGCAGCUCUGUCUCUGUCGUCGUCUGUGUGAUCGAUCAACUUUCCAGAUGGCCGGCCGGCCGGAUGGCAUGCAUCAUUUUGAUUCACACUGCAUGCACUGGUGGCCGCUAUAUAUAUCAGAAUAAUCACGCAUAUGCCAUGGUGUUUUACCAGCAGUAGGUAGGUGCCGGUGGUGGUGCAGGUCGCAGCUAGCUGUGUAUGUCGAAAUUGCAUGGCAUGCAUGGUGUGUGGUGUGUGUGUGUGUCAUGCCAUCAUGCAUGCAUGGCUAAUAGAUUAACUGUUGGCUAUCGCGUGUCAGCAUGACAUAUCUCGAUCGCGAGCGAGCAGAGCAUGGCAUGCUUAUGCUCCGCCGGUCCGAGACCGAUCAUUCAUCACUGUUCAGUCACUACGCCGUAUUUGGAUGGAAAAUAUAUACAGAUCGAUUUCGGUCAAACAAUAACAAGAAGAUACUUCUAGAUAAAGGCGUAUUUAGUUAGAGAUGUUAAUGUUUAACAGGUAUUAUACUAUUUUUUAUUUAAUAAUUAAUGUCUAAUAUAUAUAAACUAAUUAGAGUUAAAAAGUUUAUCUCAUAAUUUAUUUUUUAGCUAUGUUUUUAGUUUUAUAAAUAGUCUAUAUUAAAUACUUUAUACUUGUGUGGGAGUUAAAGUUUAAGAACGCCGAUGAAACAGCUAGCACCUAAAUAUAUAUAAGACUACACGUAGCUAUAUAUUAGUACUGUAGAGGACUUUCCCGGGCUCACACUGCUGGCUGCACAUGCGACGCCUACACGUACGACAAAUGCGAAAUGAACGCGGUGGAUAGGUGUCUGCGUGCAUGCAUGCCUGCCGUGCGCACGACUGACGUACCUGACAAAGAUAAUCCAUUUGCAUGAUCGGUGCGUUUUACGGAUGGAUGUGCAUGUAUAUAUGUUCGUCCACCGCGCGCGCGGAUCCGAUGAUGGAGAUGCAUGCAUGGAUCCACUGCACUGCACAUGCCGCGCCGCGCGCCGCCGUUCAGCCGGCGCAGUAGUAUUAGUAUGGUCGCAUGCACGCGGUUUACGACGAACGACGACACGGAUCAUGCAUGCGUCUUCCUAGCUGGCCUGGGGAAUCCGCGCAUUCCAUCAUUCCAUGCACGGACCCGGAUUAUACUCUCACAAUCCAUCGGUACGUACGGUGAGCAUGCACGCACACGCACGACUACACGUCGCCACCACCACCUUCAUAAUGACAUGAGGAGCCCUGUAAAUAAUAAUACUAAUACAUCGAUGGUGCGCUAGCCUAAUCAGGACGCAAAGUAGCAGGCACCGCAUGCGCACCUCUCUGAGAUUGUUAAUUAGUCCCAUACAUACGUGCAUCCAUGCCGACACAAGCAGCUUAGCACCCGCACGUACGAGAGAGCUAGUCGUGGUAUGGUACAAAUUUUAGGCGCGUAACGGCGCAAGUACGGUCAACCUCGGAAAUCCUGCCGGAUUUCGAUAUAAUUUCGCCACGAAGGGUGCAUGCAUGCAUGCAUAUAUGCAUGACAGUGUGUGUAUGUGGCCAUGCAAACAUAACUACUUUAAAAAUUUAUCUAGGACAAGGGACCAAUGUCUACUAUAGUUCUAACAACGCUCCACGGACCCUAACGACGACGCUCCACCGACGUUUUCACGUAGUUCGAUCGGACAAUUACAUCAACUAACUGUAAUGAAAAAUUAAUGCUUUGUUACUGUCAGCACCUCUACAGCAAAACCGAAGAAAACAACAACGCCAACUCAAGCGAACCGUGAUGGAGCGACAAGGCCAAGAAGGCCCAACCCAAGAAUCUGUGGACUAGAGUAGGCUAAGUAGGCGAAAGGCCCUGCGUGGCCCAAUUCAGAGGUGGUGCUGCGGCUACCUCUUGUAACAGCAGAGAAAGAGAAAGGAGACUCGAACCGGAACUUAGUUCUGAACCAUGCCCGAGGGCGACGGCAGCGGCGGCGAGCUCGGCGAUCUUGUUGAUCAGACAGAGUUACCGACUGAUGUUCCUCGUAUCGUUACCAUACACUAUCAAUACUUAGAGUCCGGUUACAUCUAGUAUCAGAUCUGCCUUGAUCCACCAAUUUUCCCCCAAAAAUUUUCUCUCUUCCUUUGUUGUUCGAUCUGGCACCGUAAUCCCCGACGGUAGGCUCUCUUAGCGAUUUGCCCUAGUGGUGUCAAUUGCUCGAAUCCAUAGGUCCGUACCGAGGUUGGUGUGUUCGACAGCAGUGGUAGAGUCGGAAUCCUGGCCACCCAUCCCUACCUCACCCGAAGACACAUGGCGAUGACCUCUCCUGAAGAACAGCUGGGCAAAAUUUUGGCACUGCUGAGUGAGAAUUCGAAGGGCAUCAAUGACUUGAAGACCUCCAUGUCGGAGAUGUGUACACUGCGCAUGGAGAUCCUUACCUAGAAGCCUCAGGUCAACAGUCGUGUGCACGAGUUAGAGCACACGGUCUUGGACCUGGGCGAGCGCAUUGAGAAGGUGUUCGAGAAUCUGCCUCACGCUCAACUCGUCGACGCCUCUACCAAUGAGCAGCUCGACGCUUAGCCUUCCCUCAACGACACGGUUCGUGAAGAUCACUUCACCCCAUAGGGCGUCAAGGUGUUAAGCUCCGCUCAUCUAGAGCUUCACCCGCCAUGGGUGGCAUCUAGGUCGUUAGACCACAGCAAGAGCAACAACCACUGGGGCACUGCUUUCGGGACGGUGUAUAUCACCAUCUCGGAACCGGCCCCGAUCAUAGGUGCGACACCCCCUCUAAAACCUUCCUUACUUCAGUCUAAAUUGGGUGGCUGUGUGCACGGUGAUUAGCGUUUCUAUCCUAUUUACUCAAACUAUCCCACACCAUUCCCCUGAUGUUGAAUUUCAUAAAUUUGAUGGGUCAAAUCCUCGCCUGUGGAUCACUCGUUGUGAAACCUAUUUUGAUGUGUGUCAAACUGACCCAACCUUGUGGGUUCGCCUUGCAACCAUGUGUUUUACCGGUUCUGCUGCCUCGUGGUUCCAAACCAUGAAAUCCACUAUCACUAAUAUGUCCUGGGAAUCCUUUGUCAUAGCCGUUUGUAAUCAAUUUGACAGAGACGAACAUAACCACCUCCUUCGCCAUUUUUUCCACAUCAAACAGAGUACCAUAGUUUCUGACUAUGUCGAACAAUUUAGUGACUUAGUCCACCAAAUCCUUGCUCACGACCCAUCAUUCUCAACAUCUGUCAUUGUUAAUCGCUUUGUUGAUGAUCUCAAGAAAGAUAUCCGUUCUGUUGUUAUGAUGCAUCAUCCAUUAGACCUCGAUACUGCUAGUGCAUUGGUAUUUUUGCAGGAGGAUGCCAGCCUUUAAGAUGGUUGGAGAUUGGCCAAUAUUAUGCCAAGAAGAAUUCACCUGAAUCUCUCAAGUCAGCAGUUUCAAAUGCUAAAUCUCUUGAAGAGAAGAAGCCUCCUGAUAUUACAAGAGCCAAAACUAAUGACAAACUGGUAGCUCUCAAGAAGUACAGGCGUGCCCAAGGACUAUGUUUCAAAUGUGGCGAGAAAUGGGGACCCAACCAUAAGUGUCCAGCUCAUAUUUCAUUCCAUGCUAUUGAAGAAGUCUAGAAUUGGAUUAGUGACGAGGAAGAACCAAAAACACAGAUACUUGAUGAUAAUUCUGAUUCAGGGGAAGAUCUUAUGACACUUUUUGCACAAGCUGUCAAUGGUACAGAAGGUUUCCAAACAAUGAGAAUUAGGGGACAUUUGAAUGGUAAAGACGUUUUUAUGCUCACUGACUCAGGUAGUUCUCAUAGCUUUGUGGAUGACAAAGUUGCAGAUCACAUUCAACCAUGGCAACCACUACAAAUAUCAGUUAGGGUGGCAGUUGCCAAUGGAGGUGUUAUCAGUUGUACUCGCGAGUUUAACAAACAAUUAUGGGUUGUGCAAGGUUACUCACUCAAUACUACCUUCAAAAUCAUCCCAUUGAGUGGCUAUGAUGUCAUACUAGGAAUGGAUUGGCUAGAAUCCAAUAGUCCCAUGGAAAUCAAUUGGGUAGACAGAUGGUUACAGUUUCAAUACCAAUGCCAAGUGAUCAAGCUACAAGGAUUAAUCUCAAAACCCGUACUGGGCUCUUCAGUUUCAUCCCUACAAUUGCAAGCAUUUGAAAAGAAUUAAUCCAUUCUAUAUGCAGUUGAGCUACAUUCUAUUGCCCCAGCUGAAAAUCCUAUUGAGGAGGAAUUACCAACAAAACUCAAGCAACUCUUAAAACAGUUUGCACCUAUCUUUGAACCACCUACCAAUUUGCCACCUAUCAGACUGGGAGAUCAUAAAAUUCCCCUUAUGGAUGGUGCACAACUUUUCUGUUUACGCCCAUACAGAUAUAAUCCUGCUCAAAAAACAGAAAUUAAAGCUCAAAUCAAAGAUAUGUUAGACAAAGGGUGGAUUCAGCAGAGCACCAGUCCUUACUCUUCUCUAGUGCUUUUAGUCACAAAGAAGACAGGAGAUUGGCGCCUUUGUGUAGACUAUAGACGAUUGAAUGCAUUUACAAUCAAGAACAAAUACCCAUUGUCCAUUAUAGAAGAACUGUUAGAAUAGCUCCAAGGUGCUACUUGGUUCACAUCUCUUGACCUUUGCUCUAGGUUUCAUCAGAUACGUAUGGCUGCCCGUGAAGAAUUUAAAACAACAUUUCAGAUAUAUAGUGGACACUAUGAGUACAGGGUCAUGCCAUAUGGAGUCACUGGGGGUCCUACAACAUUCCAAACAAUCAUGAACACGGUGUUACACCCAUUGUUGAGGAAAUGUGCAGUGGUCUUUAUUGAUGAUAUACUAAUUUACAAUAAAUCAUGGCCUGAACAUUUGGAGCAUAUCAAGGUUGUUUUGACUCUUUUACUCCACCAUGGCUUCCAUAUUAAACUUACUAAAUGCAAUUUUGCUAAAAGAUAGUUGAGCUAUUUGGGUCAUAUUGUCAGUGAACAAGGUGUAGCAACUGAUCCCACAAAAAUCCAAACAAUCAAGAACUGGCUUCAACAUGAGAAUGUCAAGGAAUUGCGUAGUUUCCUUGGUAUGGCAGGCUAUUACAGGUGUUUUGUACCACAAUUUGGCAUGAUCAACAAACCACUCACAAAUAUUUUGAAGAAGGGAACUAUAUUCAUCUGGACAUCUACCACUAGGACUUCAUUUCAAGCACUGAAACAUGCACUUAUAUCAGCUCUAGUGCUAGCAAUGCCAAAUUUUGAAUUGCCAUUCAUUAUUGAGACAAAUGCAUCUUCUCAUGGCAUAGGAGCAGUCUUACAACAGCAGGGACACCCAAUUGCUUAUGUCAGCAAAGCCUUAGGAGUCAAGGCAUAAGGACUUUCCACAUAUGAAAAAGAGUGCUUAGCAAUAUUAAUGGCAAUUGACCACUGGAGGCAUUUCCUACAAACAUCGCCUUUCAUUAUACUUACUGAUCAACAAAGCUUGACACACCUUGAUGAUCAAAAACUAUCCACACCAUGGCAGCAUAAAGCACUCACAAAACUAAUGGGCAUGACAUACAAGAUUAUCUACAAAAAAGGCACUGACAACAAGGUUGCUGAUGCUUUAUCCAGACUCCAAAAAUCACCAGUUUAUGAUAUUUCUGCUAUUUCUGUCCUCAAACCACUUUGGUUGGAAGAUAUUCAGAAGACUAAUGAGCAGGACCCUAAUUGCAGUAAACUUCUAACUGAACUUGCUAUAUCUUCUCCAUCCAAUCAGUACUCAUUACAAGAUGGACUUAUCAAAUACAAGGGCAGUUUAUGGAUUGGCAAUAGUCAACAAAUGCAGCAAAGAAUUAUGUCAGUAUUGCAUAAAAGUCCAAUGGGAGGACACUCUAGCUCUGAAGUCACAUAUAAGAAAGUUAAGCAGUUAUUUGCAUGGCCCAAACUCAAAUAGACAGUACAACAGUUUGUUGAGCACUGCACUAUCUGUCAACAAGCCAAAAAUGAAAGAGUAGCAUACCCUGGUCUAUUGGCUCCCUUACCAUUUCCUAAAGGAGCUUAGUAAAUAGUAACUUUGGACUUUAUUGAAGGUUUACCCAGGUCCUCUUCAUUCAACUGCAUCUUAGUGGUGGUAGAUAAAUUCUCCAAGUAUGCCCAUUUUAUACCACUAUCUCACCCAUUCACUGCCCUGCAAAUUGCCAUCAUAUUGUUGAACAACAUUUUCAAACUUCAUGGCUUACCCCACAAACAAUGAUAUCAGACAGGGACAAGGUGUUCACUAGCACUAUCUAGCAAGAAUUGUUCAAGCUUGUGGGAAUAGACCUGAGGAUGAGCAGUGCAUAUCACCCACAAACAGACGGACAAACGGAGAGGGUCAACCAGUGUUUGGAAACAUAUCUUCAUUGCUUUGUGCAUGCCUGCCCCACAAAGUGGUCUCAAUGGUUAUCAUACUGGUAUAAUACCUCCUUCCACUCUUCUUUGGGACAAACUCCUUUUACAGUCCUCUAUGGAUAUGAGCCUCGUCAAUUUGGCAUUGACAUGUCCCAAGCUGUUCAGUCUGCUGAUCUCACUAAAUGGCUACAAGAUCGUGAAUUACUACAACAACUUGUCCGACAACACCUUAUUCGGGCUCAAUCUAAAAUGAAGGUACAAGCUGACAAACACCACACUGAUAGAGUAUUCAAUGUGGGUGAUUCAGUAUAUCUCAAAGCACAACCUUACGUUCAAACAUCUCUAGCUCCUCGCUCUUCCAACAAAUUGGCAUUCAGAUUCUUUAGACCAUUCAUCAUCACUGAUCGUGUUGGCCCAUCUGCAUAUCGCCUGAAACUGCCAUCAGAAUGUCUCAUCCAUCCGGUCCUUCAUGUAUCAAUGCUGAAGAGAGAUGUUCUAGCAAACAAUCAGGUUCAUGAGCUUCCUAACUUUGAACAUGAGUUGCAUGUUCCUGAAGCUAUACUUGAUCAGCGUCUCAAGCGUGACCGUGUGAAAGGUCCUUGUUUGGUUUUGGUAAUUGAGUGACAACUUAGGUGGACUAAUAGUGUUUAUGUGAGAUACACAGGAGAUUAGUCCACAGGUGAUUAUAUGAUGAUGGAGGAGCUCAUUGCAUAUGAGACAUGACAUGGAGUCAUGUGACCAAGGUGGAGAAGAUCAAGAUGAGGCUUGGCUUGAUGGACCGGUUGCAAGAGUGAAGGGCAAGUCGAAGGCUUUGAAGCGAGGGACCACGUGUGACGGUGAAGCUUGAGCAAGACUUGGCGCCGAUGGACCGAGGCAACGGUGAAGAGCAAGUGAGGUCAAGAUCGAUGAACCAAUACAGUCACGUGAUGAUAUGAAGUGGAUCAUAUCAUUUGGUGAUUGGUUGGUGCAUGUGUUGCAUCAACAUUGGAGGAGACGGAAUGGAAUGCGCAAGGCAAAGGUAUAACCUAGGGCUUUUCCAUUUCACCGGUCAUAGGUGUGUAGAGAAGUUUAUGACCGGAUUUAGGAUAGAUGGCCGUACUAUCAAGAGGGGCAAACUUGUUUGCAUAUCGGUCAUCUAGUGCCACUUGAGCAAUCUAACUUUGCAUACGUGUUAAGAUCGAGUGGCGUGACAAGUUGAGAGGCUAACUCCUUUGGAAAAUUGUUUGUGAAAAUGCUAACACACAUGCACAUGGUGGUGUACACUUGGUGGUGUUGGCACAUUUACAAAGGAGGUGGAGUUCCUAGGGUUGAGAGGGGUGUGGGUUCCUCAAGCUCGGCGGGAUUCGACGCUUUUGAGAAAAUUAAGUGCAUAUUUUCUAUUGCGCCGGUGGGAAAUUUGGAGAAAUCGCGGGAGUGUUUCUCAGUAGGAAACACUCACCGGACGCUCUGCGCGGAGGCACCGGAUGCUGGCCUUUAGCGUCCGGUGUGCUGUCGGAUGCAGCAGAGUGCACCGGACGCACCGGAGAGAGUCCGGUGCUCAGCGUCCGGUGUGCGGGCGGUUUGGCGACCCUCUCUGCGCAUGAGUCCGGUGAGCACCGGACGCUCAGGGUGCGUCCGGUGGCUUGCGUCCGGUGACCGUGCGAGUUUGCGGAGCUCUCUGCGCACGAGUCCGGUGUGCACCGGACGCGUCCGGUGUGGACUAGUUGAGCGUCCGGUGGUGCUGUGUCAGGCGCGAGCGCGUGGUAGCCGUUGGCGGCAACGGUCGACUUCAAACGGCUAGUGACACGUGGCUGACACCUGAGCACCGGACGCUGCGGGUUGAGCGUCCGGUGGCUCCCUGUGAGCGUCCGGUGCCCACGUGUUUUGCCCAGUGAAGGGGCAACGGCUAGUUUAGCCCUUGGGGCUAUAAAUAGAAGUGGUGGCCGGCCUUGGCCGGUGCGGAGCACCCUUGGGACUUAGUGUCCAUGCUUGGGGAGUGCUAGUGAAGCCUCUAACUCACAUAUGCUUGAUAGUGAUCAUCCGAUUGUGUGAGUGAGCGAUUCUAGUGCGUUGCAUUGAGAGAUUGCAUUGAGUGGCACUAGGUGUUCAUGUUGCAAGCCGGUGGUGCUUGUUACUCUUGGAGGUUGCCACCUCCUAGACGGCUUGGUGGCUUGUGACUCCAUCGAAGCACGCAAGGAGAUUGUGUGGUGCUCCGGAGAAGAGAUUGUGAGGGGUACGGUGCUCACCCCGCGGGGAUCGCGAAGAGCAACUUUAUUGGAUCGUGAGUGUCAUUGAGCUACCUCACUUGUGGGUAGGUUCUUGCAGCGUCCUAGUGGGGACGAGGUUCGUGUAACACCUCUUAGCCGCCGAACCACCAAGUGUUGGUCGACACAACGGGGACGUAGCUUGGUGGCAACCAAGUGAACCUCGGGAGAAAAUCAUCGUGUCAACUUUGUUCUUCCCAUUGGUUUGCAAGUCCCUAACACAAGCUUGUAUUUACAUUCUUAUAUUUGUGCUUGUGUAGUUGCUCUUGUAAUUAGUUAGCUUGUGUAGCUUGCUAGUUACCUUCUUGCUUUUGUAGCUAGAAGUAGUUCCCCUUGCGUGACUAAUUUGGUUUGUGUAACCUUGUUAGUCACAUUGCUUAGUUUGUGUAGAUAAGUAAGUUGCGCUCUCUAAUUUGGCAUUAGUUGCCUUGUUAUUGAGCUUGCUAGUGAGCUUAGGCUUUGUGCGCUUUGCCUCACUAGUUUGUGUAGGAGCUCCCUCCGUUUGUAAAGUACUAGUUGUAUAGGUUUGUGUGACCUUGCUCCUAGAAUUGUUUAGGUGAGCUCUUGCUAAGGUGGCACCUUGCUUGCUUGUUUAGGAUCUUUUCAAGGUGCUAGAGAACUUAGAUAGAGGGGUGUAGUCUUGGCUAGACCGAUAGUUUUAAUUCCGCAUUUGUUUCGGUUAGCCGGUGCGAUAAGUUUUAGAAAGGACUAUUCACCCCCCUCUAGUCCGCCAUCUCGACCCUUCACCGUGAACAAGCUAUUACUCAAGUGCUUGUCUGCUGGUCUGAUAUGCUAGCAUCGCUUGCGACCUGGGAAGACGAAGAAGCUCUACGUUAGCAAUUCCCACGCGCACCAGCUUGGGGGCAAGCUGGUUCUCAAGGAAGGAGGGAUUUUACUAUCAGCAAAGACUGAAGAAGACAACAACGCCAACUGAAGCGAGCCGUGAUGGAGCGACAAGGCCAAGAAGGCCCUACCCAAGAAUCUCUGGACCAGAGUGGGCUAAGUAGGCAAAAGGCCCUAUGUGGCCCAAUUCAGAGGUGGUGCUGUGGCUCCCUCUUGUAACAGCACAGAAAGAUAAAGGAGACUCGAACCGGAAUUGAGUUCUCAACCAUGCCCGAGAGCGACGGUGGCAGCGGCGAGCUCGGCGAUCUUGUUGAUCGGCCAGAGUUACCGACCGAUGUUCCUCGUAUCGUUACCAUACAUUAUGAAUACUUAGAGUCCGGUUACAUGCUUCUACUAGCAAAGAAGCACCAAAAUGAGUCCACAAAUAUUGAAACAAUUUCAAGCGACGCAUCAUAAGAGAGAGCAUGAUUUUACAAAACAAAAGUAGAACUAGCUAGUCUCAUAAUUUCAACCUAGAAUUGAGUUUCUAUAAAUUUUCUAAGACUAAUUUAGAUUUUUGGGGUUUAUAACUAGAUUAUUUUUCUAUGUAAAUAUAUUUAGAUAAGUUUUUAAUUUUUAAUAAAUUUUUAGAUAUUUUGAGAAAUAUUUUUAUUCUGAUUUACCUUUAUGAACUAUCAAUUUAGACCGAUUUACUUCCUCUAAGGUGGUGCCAUGUCACAUCAGCAUAAAUACUAUCAAAACUUCUUAGUGUGCAAAAAAGGGUUUUAAAAAGUUAAAGACAUAAAAGAUUCAGUUUUAUAGAUGAGAAUGAAGGUUUUAAAUCAAACACCUGCAAAAAACUUGAGUGGUGCCGAAAGCUGAGGUAGGGCCAGUCCAUGGGCCAAUUUUGCUAGAUAGAUUGGGCCACUUAGCACUAGGUUCUUCGAACCAUCUGGCCCAGACCUAUUGAAAGGUCCUUGUUUGGUUUUGGUAAUUGAGUGACAACUUAGGUGGACUAAUAGUGUUUAUGUGAGAUACACAGGAGAUUAGUCCAUAGGUGAUGAUAUGAUGAUGGAGGAGCUCAUUGCAUAUGAGACAUGACAUGGAGUCAUGUGACCAAGGUGGAGAAGAUCAAGAUGAGGCUUGGCUUGAUGGACCAGUUGCAAGAGUGAAGGGCAAGUUGGAGGCUUUGAAGCGAGGGACCGCGUGUGACGGUGAAGCUUGAGCAAGACUUGGCGCCGAUGGACCGAGGCAACGGUGAAGAGCAAGUGAGGUCAAAAUCGAUGAACCAAUACAGUCACGUGAUGAUAUGAAGUGGAUCAUAUCAUUUGGUGAUUGGUUGAUGCAUGUGUUGCAUCAACAUUGGAGGAGUUGGAAUGGAAAGCACAAGGCAAAGAUAUAACCUAGGGCUUUUCUAUUUCACCAGUCAUAGGUGUGUAGAGAAGUUUAUGACCGGAUUUAGGAUAGAUGGCCGUACUAUCAAGAGAGGCAAACUUGUUCGCAUAUCGGUCAUCUAGUGCCACUUGAGCGAUCUAACUUUGCAUACGUGUUAGGAUCGAGUGGCGUGGCAAGUUUGAGAGGCUAACUCCUUUGGGAAAAUGCUUGUAAAAAUGUUAACACACUUGCCCAUAGUGGUGUACACUUGGUGGUGUUGGCACAUUUGCAAAGGAGAAGGUGUUGGAGUUGAUUUUGUUCAACUUGAAGAAGAGAGAGAAGUUUUUCAGUGUUCUCUGGACAUUAGGAUGGCUUUUAGAUUGGAAUACUGCUUUGAUCCAUUUUGAUUUGGAUUGAGUAUUCAUAUAGAUUGGAUAGCACUCUAACUAAGCUUUCCAAAAUGUCUAAGAUCAUCGAAUUCAGAGUUCGGAGCUAGAAGUUAGCAACCUAACAAGUUGAACGCUGAGAGUCCGGUGCGCACAGGACGAGUCCGGUGGCAUAGGACGCUGAGAGUCCGGUGCGCACAGGACGAGUCCGGUGUCACCGGACGCUGAGAGUCCGGAGCUGCUGCAAGUUUGCGUUGCUCUCUGCGUAUGCGACCGGUGCGCACAGGAUGCGUCCGGUGUGAAGCAGCAGAGCGUCCGGUGCUACUGUUCCAGACACGCGUGCGUGUGCUAGCCGUUGGCGGCAACGGUCGAGUUCAAACGGCUAGUAACACGUGGCUGUUUUUAAAGCACCGGACGCACUGUUCCAGCGUCCGGUGCUACCUACAGUGAGUCCGAUGCUCACGACUUUUGCCCAGUGAAGGGGCAACGGCUAGUUUAGCCCUUGGGGCUAUAAAUAGAAGUGGUGGCCGGCCUUGGCUGGUGCAGAUGAAAGCCCAAGUUUGGUUUUGGUAAUUAAUGACACCAAGUUGCUAAUGCUUUGUGUUCAAGUGAUUUGAGUUAGGCAUAGCAACCCAUUUGAAGAAGGAGCAACGUGCCAUGAGUGAUGGACACAAGGUCUUAAAGAGAGAAGGCAUGAAGUGGAGAUCAUGGUGAUGGACAAGGAGUAAAGUGAUCAAGGCAAAGGUAUAAACAUAGGAUUUUGCUUUUGCCGGUCUAAGAUGAGUAGAGAAGUGAUUGACCGGAUUUAAGAUAGAUAGUCGUACUAUAAAGAGGGGAAAUCUUUAAUUGCAAUGGUUACCUAGUGCCACUAAGUAUGAGUCUAAUUUGCAUAUACCUAGCGCUUAGUGACGUGGUGAGUUGCAUGAGAAAGCCUAUAAAAAUGUUUGUGAAAUGCUAACACACAUGCACAUGGUGGUGUACACUUGGUGGUGUUGGCACAUUUGCAAAGGAGAAGGUGUUGAAGUUGAUUUUGAUCAACUUGGAGAAGAGAAAGAGACUUUUCGGUGUUAUCCGGACAUUAGGAUGGCUUUUAGAUUGAAAUACUGCUUUGAUCCAUUAUGGUUUGGAUGGAGUAUCCAUAUGGAUUGUAUAGCCCUCUGAGUAAGCUUUCUAAAAUGUCCAAGAUCAUCGAAUUCCGAGUUCGGAGCUAAAAGUUAGCAUCCUAACAAGGUUUGAGUUGGUGCUGAAAAUGCAGGACCGGAAGUUCCGGUGGGACUUCCGGUGGGACUUCCGGUGCGUGACCGGAAGUUCCGGUCAGCCUGACAGGAAGUUCCGGUUGGGCUGUGAGAGAUGCGCUCGCGUUUGAGAAAACACUUCCGGUGUCUGACCGGAAGUUCCGAUCCUUGACCAGAAGUUCCGGUCCAUAACCGGAAGUUUCGGUCCAUGUUUGGAAGUCCGCAUAGGAGCCUUUGCGCAUGGCCUCGCGUGUCAGGAUUCACUUCCGGUCUCUGACCGGAAGUUCCAGUGGGACUUCCGGUGGGUCCGAGUCUCUCACAAUGGUCAGAUCUGCUUGGCCACAACGGUCAGUUCUGCUUGGAUCGAGGCUCCAACGGUCAGAUCUGGUCGGACCGGAAGUUCCGGUCCCAGGCACCGGAACUUCCGGUGCCACACUAUAAAUACUCGUUUCCCUUGUUUCUAACCGGGUACUUCGCAUAGAACAUAUUUUUCUGACUUCCGGUGGCUCUUCCAAAGAGUAGAGAAAGCUCUCCCCUCCUCCUCUCUCACUCCCUAAGCUUUGUGCUCCAUUCAAGUGAGAGAUUGAGCUCUAGUGAUAGAUCUGAGAGCUUCAAGAGCAUCUCUUCCCUCUCCUCUCCAUCCCCAUAGCUUGGUGCUCUUUGAUGGCUUGGUGCAAGGGAGGUGUUGAGCUCGUGAUUGGAUAUUGUUUCGAGCCUCACCAAGUGAUUUGUGAGGGGUUCUUGAGCCUUCCCCGCGGGAGAUCGCAAUUGGCUACUCUAGUGGAUUGCUCGUGGCUUGGAGGAUCCCCAUCUUGUGAGUGGAUGUGCGGCACCCGCUGAGGGUUUGGCUUUGGAUUGCCAAUUAGCUCGUGAUCCAUCAAGUGGGUGUAUCGCCACAACGAGGACUAGCUUGCCGGGAAGCAAGUGAACCUCGGUAAAAAAAAAUCUUGUGUCAUCUCUUGCCGAGGACUCUCUUGUGAUUGUGAGUGAUUGGUUGGAUAUAUCUCUACUCUACAACGUUGGUAUAACAAUCACUCUCCACUCCUUUACUUACUUGUUUAUCUUGCUAGUUGUUUAGCUUGUUUAGUUUAGUCUUCUUGUUUAGGAGUGUAGCAAGUUUAUAGUUGUGCUUUCUUGUUGUAUCUUGUGUUUAGCUUUCUUGCUAGACUUGUGUAGGUGGCUUGCAUAGCUUAGUUGUGCUAGUGCUAGAAUAGCUUCGCCUUUUGUUUUACUAACCAACUUGUCUAGUUGAAGUUUGUAGAAAUUUUAAAUAGGCUAUUCACCCCCCCUCUAGCUAUUUGGACCUUUCAAGUGGUAUCGGAGCCGAGGCACCGUUUAUUUGAGGCUUAACAACCUACGGUGAAGAAAUGGCUCUUAGUUUGCAUAUCAACAACACCAAGAAGGCACCUUACUUUGAUGGCACCAAUUAUGCUUAUUGGAAGGUCAAGAUGACCGCCCAUCUCAAGUCAAUCAAUAGAGAAGUUUGGAAGGUGACCGAAAUAAAGUUUGAGGUUGCAAAUGAGAAUGCACCUACACCGGUUGAAGAAAAGAAGCUUCAAUGCAAUGACAUUGCAAUAAGUGCUCUUCAUGAAGCUCUUGAUGAUAAGACCUUUGAGCAAAUCAAGAACAUUGAGAUUGCUCAUGAUGCAUGGGCAAAACUAGAAGAAACAUUUGAGGGCACCAAGGGAACCAAGACCGCCAAGGCAUAUAUCCUCCAAGAAAAGUUCUCAAGCUUCAAGAUGCAAGAAGAUGAAAGUGUGCCGGAGAUGUUUCACCGGUUGCAAGUUAUUGUGAAUGAGCUCAAGGCACUUGGGGAAGAAGUGAAGGAUAGUCAAUUCUCUAUGAAGUUCUUGAGAAGCUUACCCAAGAGAUUUGACACUUUGAUCACCGUGUUAGUCAAGACAACACUUAGUGAAUCAACUCCCCAACAAGUGUUCCAAGAAGUGAUGACCGAUGAUGCUUAUAGAGAAGAUGAUGAGAAGGAUGAGUUGAUCAAAAAGAAGAAGAAGGAUGGUGAGAAGAAGGAUGAUGAGAAGAAGAAAAGUGUGGCAUUCAAGGCCUCCUCAUCCAAGGGCAAAGCCAAGAUAGAGUCAACAAGUGAAGAAGAAGCAAGCACUUGUGAUAGUGAUGAAGAUGAGGAGAUGGCUCUUCUUGUCAAAAGAUUUGGCAAGUUUAUGAAGAAGAAGGGCUAUCGGGCAAGAAGGAAGAAGAGCUCCUCCAAGAAGAAUGACCAUUCCAUGAGGUGCUUUAGAUGCCAUAGCAAGGAUCAUCUCAUCGCCAAGUGUCCUUAUGAUAGUGAUGAUGAAGAUGCUAUCAAGAAAGAAAGAAAGAAGCAAAAGAAGAAGCAAGAAAAGAAGGAAGGCUCAAACAAGAAGAAGGGUGAUGCCCAUGUUGCAACUUGGGAUAGUGAUGACUCCUCAAGUGAUGAGGAGAGCACCAAGAAGAAGGCGCAUGCUAGCAUUGCCAUUCAAGGAAAAAGCUCCAUCUUUGACACUCCAUCAUGCUUCAUGGCUAAGGCCACUAAGGUAUCAUCUAAUGAUGAGAGUGACCACGCUAGUGAUAGUGAUAGUGAUGAUGAUGAACCAACUAAAGAUGAACUAAUCACUAUGCUAGAAGAUUGCACUCAUCACUAUAAAGAAACUAGAAAGGAGUGCAAGGCCUUGCUUAAGGAUAAGAAAACCCUUGAGCAAGAACUUGAUGAGCUUAGAGCAUCUUAUGAGAGUCUAAAGGAAGACCAUAAGAAGCUUCAAAAGGCUCACACUAAGCUUGAAGAAGCUCAUUCCUCUCUAGUUAACAAAUGUGAAAAUGAGUCAACUAAAAUUGAGAGAGCUAAAACUUGCAACAUAGGCAUAACAUGUGAUAUCUUGAGUAAGCCUAUUAUUAUUGCUUCUACUAACCCUUCAUGUAGCACAUCUACAUCAUCCUCAUCUAAUAGUGAUGGUUUCACUUGUGACACCACACUAAAAGUUGAGAAUGAAAUUCUCAAGAAGGAGGUGAAAGAGCUCAAUCACACUUUAGCUAAGGCUUAUGGUAGUGAGGACCGCUUGCUUAUGUGCUUGGGUAGCCAAAGAGCUUCUCUCUAUAAAGAGGGAUUAGGCUAUAACCCCAAGAAAGGCAAGGCUGCCUUUGCUCCUCACAAGACUAGUUUUGUGAAGAAUAAUGGCCGGUAUUGCAAAGCUUGCAAGCAAGUUGGUCACCUAGAGCAACAAUGCAUGAACAAGAAACCCAAAGCCAAUGUAUCCUCAAUUAAGCUAAAUUCUUUCUAUGUGCUUACCAAGGAUACUAAAGGUGUUCAUGCUAAGUUCAUUGGUGCACCAUGGAUGGGCUCAAAGAAGAAAGCCAUUUGGGUACCAAAGAGCUUAGUUGCUAACCUUGGAGGACCCAAUCAAGUUUGGGUACCUAAAAAGAAUUGAUUUUUCCUUGUAGGUCAAUUACAAAGCCGGAGGAAGGCAUUGGGUGCUUGAUAGUGGGUGCACUCAACAUAUGACCGGGGAGUCUUGUAUGUUCAAAUCAAUUGAUACAAAUCAAAAUGGUGGCUUUGAUUCUAUCACUUUCGGCAACAACAAGAAAGGCAAGGUCAAAGAGCUUGGUAAAAUUGCUAUCUCAAAUGACAUGAGCAUAUCAAAUGUGUUGCUAGUUGAGAGCCUAGAUUUCAAUCUCUUGUCAAUUGCACAACUUUGUGACCUUGGUUUCAAGUGUAUCUUUGGAAGUGAUGAUGUUGAGGUUGUUAGUGUUGAUGGAUCAAACUUGAUAUUCAAAGGAUUUAGGCAUGGUAGCUUAUACUUGGUUGAUUUCAAUGAUAGUGACACUCAAUUGACAUCGUGCCUAAUUAGCAAAUCAAGUUUGGGUUGGUUGUGGCAUAGAAGGCUUGGUCAUGUUGGAAUGAAACAAUUGAACAAACUAUUGAGGCAUGACUUAGUUAGAGGCUUGAAGGAUGUCACUUUUGAGAAGGAUAAACCAUGUAGUGCUUGUCAAGCCGGAAAGCAAGUUGGAAAUGCACAUCCCAAGAAAAGUGAAAUGAGCACAUCAAAGGCAUUUGAGCUAUUGCACAUGGAUUUAUUUGGGCCAACAACAUAUACUAGCAUUGGUGGCAACAAGUAUGGAUUUGUGAUAGUAGAUGACUACACUAGAUACACUUGGGUGUUCUUCCUCUAUGACAAGAGUGAUGUUUGUGAUCUAUUCAAGUCUUUUGUCAAGAGGGUGCAAAAUGAUUUUGAAACCACUAUCAAGAAGAUUAGAAGUGACAAUGGUAGUGAAUUCAAGAACACAAGAAUUGAGGAAUUGUGUGAUGAUCUUGGCAUUGGACAUCAAUUCUCUCCAACAUACACUCCUCAAUCCAAUGGUGUAGUUGAAAGGAAGAAUAGAACCUUGAUUGACAUGGCUAGAUCAAUGCUUAGUGAAUACAAUGUUAGCCAUUCAUUUUGGAGUGAAGCUAUCAACACGGCUUGCUAUUGUAGCAACCGUCUCUAUUGCCAUGGGAAGCUUGGGAAGACACCAUAUGAGCUAUUGAAUGGAAGAAAGCCCAACAUUGCAUACUUUAGAGUGUUUGGUUGCAAAUGCUACAUUCUCAAGAAAGGCACUAGAUUGAGUAAAUUUGAGAAGAAAUGUGAUGAAGGGUUCUUACUUGGUUAUUCCACCACAAGCAAGGCAUAUAGAGUUUGGAACUUGACAAGUGGCACAUUGGAAGAAGUCCAUGAUGUUGAGUUUGAUGAAACCGAGGGAUCUCAAAAUGAAGCUCAAAAUCUUGAUGAUGUGAGAGGAGAGCAAUUGGCAAAUGCAAUGAAGAACAUGGAUGUAGGUGACAUAAGGCCAAGGCAAGUUGAUGAUGAUAAUGACAUUCACAUGAUCAAUCAAGAAGUGCAAAUUGAUACAAAUCAAGCUAAUACUAGUGGCUCUCAUGAUGAUGAUCAAAAUCAAAGUCAAGCAAGUGGAAGCAAUCAACUCCCAAUACUCCAACCUACAAGCAUAGCAAGGGAUCAUCCAUUGGAUCAAGUCAUUGGUGGUAUUCAAAGUGGUGUACAAACAAGAUCAAGACUAGCAUCCUUUUGUGAGCACUAUUCAUUUGUCUCAUUUGAGGAACCAAAGAAAAUAGAAGAUGCAUUGAGAGAUUCCGAUUGGGUAAAUGCCAUGCAUGAAGAAUUGAACAACUUCACAAGAAAUCAAGUGUGGGAGCUUGUUGAGAGGCCGAAGAACUACAAUGUGAUUGGUACCAAGUGGGUCUUUAGAAACAAGCAAGAUCAAGAUGGUGUAGUUGUGAGAAACAAAGCAAGAUUAGUGGCACAAGGCUACACUCAAGUUGAAGGUCUUGACUUUGGAGAAACUUAUGCACCGGUUGCAAGACUGGAGGCAACUAGAAUCCUAUUAGCCUAUGCUUGUGCCCACAACAUCAAGCUCUAUCAAAUGGAUGUGAAGAGUGCAUUUCUCAAUGGAUAUAUAAAUGAGUUGGUUUAUGUUGAGCAACCUCCCGGUUUUGAAGAUGACAAGAAACCCAACCAUGUUUACAAGCUCAAGAAGGCAUUGUAUGGUUUGAAGCAAGCACCUAGAGCAUGGUAUGAGAGAUUGAGAGAUUUCCUUCUCUCCAAAGGGUUCAAGAUGGGAAAGGUUGACACUACCCUCUUAACCAAGAAGCUAGGCAAGGACUUGUUUGUGUUGCAAAUCUAUGUUGAUGAUAUCAUCUUUGGAUCAACCAAUCAAGACUUUUGUGAAGAGUUUGGAAAAAUGAUGGCAAAUGAGUUUGAGAUGUCCAUGAUUGGAGAGCUUAGUUACUUCCUUGGACUUCAAAUCAAACAAAUGAAGGAUGGCACUUUUGUGAGUCAAGGAAAGUACAUCAAGGACAUGAUCAAGAAGUUUGAGUUGCAAGAAGCUAAACCAAUGAGCACACCUAUGGGCACAAAUGAUCAAUUAGGUAGUGAUGCAAGUGGCAACAUGGUAGAUCAAAAGCUAUACCGGUCCAUGAUUGGAAGUUUGCUCUAUGUCACCGCAUCAAGGCCGGAUGUGAUGUUUAGUGUGUGUAAAUAUGCAAGAUACCAAGCUUCACCUAGAGAGAGUCACUUGAAGGCAACCAAAAGAAUAUUGAGGAAUCUAAAGGGCACUCAUGAUGUUGGAUUAUGGUAUCCCAAGGGGUCUAAUUUUGAGUUGAUUGGUUAUUCGGACUCCGAUUAUGGUGGAUGCAAGAUUGAUAGAAUGAGCACAAGUGGCACUUGUCAAUUGCUAGGAAGGUCUCUAGUUUCAUGGUCAUCAAAGAAACAAAAUAGUGUUGCACUAUCAACCGCCGAGGCCGAAUACAUUAGUGCCGGUAGUUGUUGUGCACAAUUGCUUUGGAUGAAAGCUACCUUGAAUGACUUUGGAAUCAAAUUUAAGAAUGUGCCUUUGCUAUGUGACAAUGAGAGUGCAAUCAAGAUGACACAAAAUCCGGUUCAACAUUCAAGAACCAAGCACAUUGACAUAAGGCACCAUUUCAUAAGAGAUCAUCAACAAAAGGGUGAUAUUAGCAUUGAAAGCAUUGGCACCGAAGAUCAACUAGCCGACAUCUUCACAAAGCCACUUGAUGAGAAGAGAUUUUGCAAGUUGAGGAAUGAAUUGAACAUACUUGACUUCUCCAACUUGAGAUGAGUACACCCCUACAUUUCUAUAUGAUAUGCCUCUCCUCCAACAAAGCAAGGUAAAGAUGGUUGACAUAGCAUUCAUACCUUGCUAAGGACAUGUUUAGAACAUAUAGACAUGCUUGCAUGAAAAUAGGCUCAUUCAUGAAAAUCAAAAGGAUUUGAUGUAUGUAUGGUACCACUAUUGUUUCUAUGAUUGAUUGAUCUAGUGGUAGCAUAUGACAUGUUUGUGGGCUUGUAAGCCUAGUGUUGAGUCUAGAAUAUGAGCUUAUGAUGUGUAAUUCAACAUGGUCAAGAUAACCCUUAUACUUCAUGAGGUGUGAAAAAGCUUGUCCUUGGAUCAAACCGAGUUACAUGUUCUAGGCAAGUAAUCUAGAUUGGACCAUAAUUUGACCCUCACAUUGAUUGACUUAAUUCUCACUAUAAUCUAAAUCUUUGUGGUCAUUGAUGACAAAGGGGGAGAGAAACAAAGAUAAGUCAUAAAGGGGGAGAAAAGUGCUUAAGGGGGAGAGAAGACUUUUGAAAAUAGAAAGGGAUAAAUUAAACUUGAGCACACAAAUAGGGGGAGCAAGCUCAUGAACCAUUUGUUGCAUUUGUAUGUGCACUAACAUAAUGAGGUGUUGCAUUACAAGUUUAAAUUCACUACUCUUGUUUGAUUGAUGAUUGCUAGAAGUAAAACUUGAAUGAUGCUUUGAAUUCUAGCAUAAAGUUUUUAUUUUCAUGUGGUAUCUAGACAUAUAAUGUGAUCUCACAAGGUAUCUUGAGUUUUUGAUGUAUGUCUAGCUACAUUGGUGCUAAGGAUGGUAUAUUGGCAACUCCGAUUGGUAUCACGCUUCAAAGGUCCAUUCUAUAUACCUUAGCAUCAUUUUGGUUGUAAUAAAUCUCCCAAAAUUCAAAUUCAUGCAUAUGUGCAAAUUUGAACCAAACUCAUGGAAGCACAUAUGUAGGGGGAGCUAGUACAACCAAAAUCGAAAUUGAAAUGUUUGUCCAACCUUGUAUUAUGAUUAAAAUGCUUUGGACAAGCAAUUCAAGUUCAUUAUGAUUUCAUUUCAUAUCUUUGUGAUGGUUGUCAUCAAUUACAAAAAAGGGGAGAUUGAAAGCCCAAGUUUGGUUUUAGUAAUUAAUGACACCAAGUUGCUAAUGCUUUGUGUUCAAGUGAUUUGAGUUAGGCAUAGCAACCCAUUUGAAGAAGGAGCAACGUGCCAUGAGUGAUGGACACAAGGUCUUAAAGAGAGAAGGCAUGAAGUGGAGAUCAUGGUGAUGGACAAGGAGUAAAGUGAUCAAGGCAAAGGUAUAAAUAUAGGAUUUUGCUUUUGCCGGUCUAAGAUGAGUAGAGAAGUGAUUGACCGGAUUUAAGAUAGAUAGCCGUACUAUAAAGAGGGGAAAUCUUUAAUUGCAAUGGUUACCUAGUGCCACUAAGUAUGAGUCUAAUUUGCAUAUACCUAGCGCUUAGUGACGUGGUGAGUUGCAUGAGAAAGCCUAUAAAAAUGUUUGUGAAAUGCUAACACACAUGCACAUGGUGGUGUACACUUGGUGGUGUUGGCACAUUUGCAAAGGAGAAGGUGUUGAAGUUGAUUUUGAUCAACUUGGAGAAGAGAAAGAGACUUUUCGGUGUUCUCCGGACAUUAGGAUGGCUUUUAGAUUGAAAUACUGCUUUGAUCCAUUAUGGUUUGGAUGGAGUAUCCAUAUGGAUUGUAUAGCCCUCUGAGUAAGCUUUCCAAAAUAUCCAAGAUCAUCGAAUUCCGAGUUCGGAGCUAAAAGUUAGCAUCCUGACAAGGUUUGAGUUGGUGCUGAAAAUGCAGGACCGGGACUUCCGGUGGGACUUCCGGUGCGUGACCGGAAGUUCCGGUCAGCCUGACAGGAAGUUCCGGUUGGGCUGUGAGAGAUGCGCUCGCGUUUGAGAAAACACUUCCGGUGUCUGACCGGAAGUUCCGAUCCUUGACCAGAAGUUCCGGUCCAUAACCGGAAGUUCCGGUCCAUGUUUGGAAGUCCGCAUAGGAGCCUUUGCACAUGGCCUCGCGUGUCAGGAUUCACUUCCGGUCUCUGACCGGAAGUUCCGGUGGGACUUCCGGUGGGUCCGAGUCUCUCACAACGGUCAGAUCUGCUUGGCCACAACGGUCAGAUCUGCUUGGAUCGAGGCUCCAACGGUCAGAUCUGGUCGGACCGGAAGUUCCGGUCCCAGGCACCGGAACUUCCGGUGCCACACUAUAAAUACUCGUUUCCCUUGUUUCUAACCGGGUACUUCGCAUAGAACAUAUUUUUCUGACUUCCGGUGGCUCUUCCAAAGAGUAGAGAAAGCUCUCCCCUCCUCCUCUCUCACUCCCUAAGAUUUGUGCUCCAUUCAAGUGAGAGAUUGAGCUCUAGUGAUAGAUCUGAGAGCUUCAAGAGCAUCUCUUCCCUCUCCUCUCCAUCCCCAUAGCUUGGUGCUCUUUGACGGCUUGGUGCAAGGGAGGUGUUGAGCUCGUGAUUGGAGAUUGUUUCGAGCCUCACCAAGUGAUUUGUGAGGGGUUCUUGAGCCUUCCCCGCGGGAGAUCGCAAUUGGCUACUCUAGUGGAUUGCUCGUGGCUUGGAGGAUCCCCAUCUUGUGAGUGGAUGUGCGGCACCCGCUGAGGGUUUGGCUUUGGAUUGCCAAUUAGCUCGUGAUCCAUCAAGUGGGUGUAUCGCCACAACGAGGACUAGCUUGCCGGGAAGCAAGUGAACCUCGGUAAAAAAAAUCUUGUGUCAUCUCUUGCCGAGGACUCUCUUGUGAUUGUGAGUGAUUGGUUGGAUAUAUCUCUACUCUACAACGUUGGUAUAACAAUCACUCUCCACUCCUUUACUUACUUGUUUAUCUUGCUAGUUGUUUAGCUUGUUUAGUUUAGUCUUCUUGUUUAGGAGUGUAGCAAGUUUGUAGUUGUGCUUUCUUGUUGUAUCUUGUGUUUAGCUUUCUUGCUAGACUUGUGUAGGUGGCUUGCAUAGCUUAGUUGUGCUAGUGCUAGAAUAGCUUCGCCUUUUGUUUUACUAACCAACUUGUCUAGUUGAAGUUUGUAGAAAUUUUAAAUAGGCUAUUCACCCCCCCUCUAGCUAUUUGGACCUUUCAGCAGAGCACCCUUAGGACUUAGUGUCCAUGCUUGGGGAGUGCUAGUAAAGCCUCUAACUCACAUAUGCUUGAUAGUGAUCAUCCGAUUGUGUGAGUGAGCGGUUCUAGUGCGUUGCAUUGAGAGAUUGCAUCGAGUGGCACUAAGUGUUAGUGUUGCAAGCCGGUGGUGCUUGUUACUCUUGGAGGUUGCCACCUCCUAGACGGCUUGGUGGCUUGUGACUUCGUCGAAGCACGCAAGGAGAUUGUGCGGUGCUCCGGAGAAGAGAUUGUGAGGGGUACGGUGCUCACCCCGUGGGGAUCGCGAAGAGCAACUCUAGUUGAGCGAGACGUGAAGAGCGACAAGUGGUCUGGCCGGGUCAAGUGCUAGAGCUUGUGGUAAGCACUCCACGUGGGAGAGUGUGACUUGCGGGUCACCACUAGCAAGAGGACCGGCGGCAACCUUGGAGCUUGUCUCAACGGGGACGUAGCUUGGUGGCAACCAAGUGAACCUCGGAAGAAAAUCAUCGUGUCAACUUCGUUCUUCCCGUUGGUUUGCAAGUCCCUAACACAAGCUUGUUCUUACUUACAUAUACUUGUGCUUGUGUAGUUGCAUUUGUAAUUAGUUAGCUUGUGUAGCUUGCUAGUUACCUUCUUGCUUGUGGAGCUAGAAGUAGUUCCCUUGCGUGACUAAUUUGGUUUGUGUAACCUUGUUAGUCACAUUGCUUAGUUUGUAUAGCUAAGUAAUUUUGUGCUCUCUAAUUUGACAUUGGUUGCCUUGUCAUUGAGUUUGCUAGUGAGUUUAGGCUUUGUGCACUUUGCCUCACUAGUUUGUGUAGGAGCUCUCCCGGUUUGCAAAGUACUAGUGGCAUAGGUUUGUGUGACCUUGCUUCUAGAAUUGGUUAGGUGAGCUUUUGCUAAGGUAGCACCUUGUUUGCUUGUUUAGGAUCUUUUUACAAGGUGCUAGAGAACUUAGAUAGAGGAGUGUAGUCUUGGCUAGACCAAUAGUUUUAAUUCCGCAUUUGUUUCGGUUAGCCGGCAUAAUAUUUUUAGAAAGGACUAUUCACCCCCCCUCUAGUCCGCCAUCUCGACCGUUCACCUAUGGGAGCUAGUAAUUGUUGUCGGACUUUGCUAAAAAAAUAUUAGUGCCAGACUUGGAGCAUGGUUACGUCUUGUUUUGUUUGAGUUUAUCAGACGAAUAAUCUAGUCAUUCAGCAGUGGUUUUCUGUCCUAACAAAUCAGCCAACAAUACUUUCUGUCAUGACUUAUCAGCCAAGUAAACAAUAAAAACAUAAUAGACAAGCAAUACAAUUAAUAGACAAGUCCAGUCAUCGAGAGCCUAACAUGGCCUUGUUUACUUCCUCUUAAAACCCAAAAUUUUUCAAGAUUUCUCAUCACAUCGAAUCAUUAGACGCAUGCAUGGAGUAUUAAAUAUAAAUAAAAUUAAAAACUAAUUGCAUAGUUUAUCUUUAAUUUGAGAGAUGAAUCUUUUGAGCCUAAAUAGUCUAUGAUUGGACAAUAUUUGUUAAAUACAAAUGAAAAUACUACAGUGUUCCGAAAAAAUUUUGUUGAGAAAGUAAACACGGCCUAUAAUAGACAAGCAAUACAAUAACUAAUCUCUUCUUAUAUUUUAAAUAUUAUUAUUUUGUUCAUCUCCUUCCUUGUCCGUUCCUAACUCCUUCCCCAUCUGGUUCGUCAUGCCGCAAGGAAGGCUGUGUGUGUACGACUGCGUGGACAAUGGCCGAGCGAUGACGACAGCUGCUGCGUGUACGGCGGCGAGGAGGACGAAUGUUGUUUCUAUGGCGGCAAGGACGAUGGUGCGGCAGCGGCGAGGACGAUUGAUGGCGCGGAUAACGGUUGCUGCGCAGACUACGACAUACGACAGCGAACAUGGCGAGGACGACCUUGCGCAAUGGUGGCAGACGCAACGAGGACGAUGGCGGGCGUCCUGCUUGGUUCGUUUGGCUGAUAAGCCAUGACAAAAAGUAAUGUUAGCUGAUUUGUUGUGAGAGAAAAGUAUUACUAAAUGGCUGACAAAUUCGGCUGAUAAGCUCAAAGUCUAGGCUAGCAACGGGCGCAUCGCUCGCGAGCCUAUGGCUGCAACACAGUUCUCUUCUCUCUUUUCUCCACCUAGGAUUUUGCUGAAAUGGCUUGACUAUAAGCCAAGCUGACAUGUAUUAUUGUACCUGCUCUUAUAUACAUUAAAUCUAUACUCUUUUGUAAGGUGUUGAUAAAAAAGGUACUUGUCAAGUUAGGUUACUUAUAUGGUAGAAUGAAAAUGGUUGAAGAGAAUAUGAAUUGGAGAUACAUCUUGAUUGGAUGAAAACGGUUGAACAAAAGCUAUUUAGUAGUAGUUCAGUGUUCACAAAAAUAAUACGGCCAAACGGUCUCAAAGCAGUUGUAAAUUAAGUGAACCAUAUUGUUUUUCACCUAGCCUUGUUUAGUUCCAAAAAUUUUUGCAAAAUAGGAAUAGUAGCACUUUCGUUUGUAUUUGACAAAUAUUAUCCAAUCAUGAACUAACUAGGCUCAAAAGAUUCGUCUCGUCAAUUCCGACCAAACUGUGCAAUUAGUUUUUAUUUUCGUCUAUAUAUAAUACUCUAUGCAUGCGUCUAAAGAUUUGAUAUGACGGGAAAUCUGAAAAAUUUUGCAAAAUUUUUCAGGAACUAAACAAGGCCCAGCUAGGAGUGUUUUUUUAUCCAGGAUGCCUGCCUUUGUUUUCAUUAGCAAAAUGUGCGUAGGUAGCACAGUGAUGAAUCACAUUAUUAUAAAUACAAACCCAACUGCCUUAUAUUAUUCAAGGGACAUUUUAUUUUGAGCAGUUAAUAUUUGAUUAACAACCACUUUCCAGUUAAAAGUUUUAGUUAAACUUAAAAGGCAGAGCGAACUGAACUUUCUGAGAUGGUUAAUCUUUUCUAAUAAGCACAUCAGAGUAACCGUGCACUAACAGAGUGAUUCCUCAUGCUUCCAUUAAUUAAUAUAUUGUGUGUUUUGCCUAGCAGCUUAGUAACAACAUUACUUUCCGAUUUACAUUUUUAAAAACUUGCAUGUAGGCAUGCGAACCAACAUAUUUAUAUUAUUUGUGUUGAUAAAAAUUACUCCCUCCGUCCACGAAAGAAUCAAUUUUUAGAGUUGUCCUAAGUCAAACUUUUUAAACUUUGAUCAAAUUUCUAGAAAAGAAUGCUAAGAUUAAUGGUAUCAAAUUAGUAUCAUUAGAUUCAUCAUAGAAUAUAUUUUCAUAUGAUGCACAUUUUAUGUCAUAGAUGUUGUUACUCUUUUUUAUAAAUUUAGUCAAAUUUAAAAAAGUUUGACUGACACAAAUUAUAUGAAUUGAUUCUUUCGUGGACGGAGGGAGUAUGAUAAUACUCUUGUCCUCUUAUCUAGAACUCAACAAACUUGUAAUAAUCAAUUAGUAAAGGCUAACUUUUUUUGUAGUCCCAACAUACUAGUGUAAAACUUUUCUUCCAAAAAAAAACACAUACUGUAAAAGUGAUAAAAAAACAAGCAUAUUGAGGAGCUUUAUUACUAAAUAAAAAAUGAGUAUUUCUGCAAAACAGAGGAAGCAUUUUCCAUAGGUUAGGAGUUUGAGAAACAAUUAGUGGAAUAAUAAUUCUGCUGAAAUCUGGCGAAAUGAGCUCCUUUCUUGUCUCAUCCUCAUGCUCAUGAAUAUAUAAGACAAAUUCUAUAUAUAAAUAAAAUAGAAAAAGUUGACAUUGUUGGGAGGACGACACCCGGGGCGUCCUCGUUCUGGCCGAUGGACCCGGAGCGAAACGGAACCUUGGUGGAAGGGCAUAAAUGCAAAUUAACGCCAGCUUCAAACCCUAGCGAUAGAGACAGGCACGUGCAUCUCGUUGGGAUGAGAUGUGAUCGUGAUGCUGAUCCACCGACGUGGGGAUCUCUGUAGCCCUAUAUGUGUCCCGUCAAAUCCAAGGGGAAAAAGUCUAUUUUUUUCUCCCCCAACUUUUAUGAAAGUACGGACAAACCACCUCCUUCAACUUUUCAACCCGUGCAUUUUACCUCCCUAGAGCGGUUCCGAAUGUAAUUUUGCUACAGUGAAUAGUAAAUCAAAGAACAAUCAUAAAAUAAAAAAUCCAAAUUUAUUAGACUCCACAUAAGUAGAUCUACACAAUGAGCAUAUAAUACGAUAUGCUUUAGUAAAAUUUUUUUGCUAUAGAGAUUUUGUCUUUUUCUUUUUUAUUUAUUUUGCUUAAUAUAUUUGAAAAGUCAUAGUAAAUUACAGAAAAAUCAUAAAAUAUAAAAUAUAAUUUUGUUAGACGUUAUAUGAGCAUAUCUACAUAGUAAAUUUAUAAUAGGGUAUGGUUUAGUAUAAUUCUUUUGUUGUAGCUUUAGAUUUAUAUUUUUCUGUAAUUAAUUAAAAUAAUUCAUAGCUGUAGCUUCUAUAAUUAUUUUGUCAGACUAAAAUAUACAUAUAUUAUAUAUUCAUUAUGUAUAUAUACUCUUGUGGAGUCUAAGAAAAAUAUAUUAUCUAUUUUAUGAUUUUUCUAUGUUUUACUAUGAUUUUUCAAAGAUUCAGCCAAAUAAAUAAAUAAAAGAAAAGGACAAAACCUUCAUAGCAAAAACUUUGUACUAAAGCAUACCAUAAUAUAUGUUUACUAUAUAGAUAUACUUGUGUGGAGUCCAAAGAAAAUAGAUUUUAUAUUUCAUGAUUUUUCUAUGAUUUACUAUGAUUUUUCAAAAAUUUAGCCGAAAUAAUUAAAAAAGAGAGAGACAAAACCAUUGCUAGUGUAGCAAACCACUAGUCACUAUAGCAAAACCGCCUUCGAAACCGCUCCAGAAUGAUAAAAUGCAGGAUUUGAAGAGUUAAGAAAGAUGAUUUACUCGGUUAUAGAGUUAAGGAGGAAAAACGAAGUUUGGUAAAAAUUGAAGAAAAAAAAUAGACUUUUUUCCAAUACAAGGCCGCAAAAUAUCCCAUCCCACCUGAGAAGAGAGACAUCAUGAGGUUGGUGGGCAGCCCAGCCCAGACCAGCCCCGGCCCACUAAUGAUGUGACGGCCCAUGUCCAUGGUUCGACUUGGACGUCACGGGUGCCUCGUGCACCCUGCCGCUCACGUCGACCCACGAGCUGAAGCCGAGCGGCAGGCAAAAGUCCACUUGCAAGUUCAUAUUUGACAACUUUCUAUUUUGAAAGAGUUAUUUUACCAAAUUAGUAAAGGAAUUUUUUUUUCUCUUUUUACUAUAAUAUUAAGAUAGGGAGCUGUUUUACCAAAUUCUAAAGAUACCCUUAGAUAGUACAAUUAGGAAUUAGUUUGAUGGAAAUAGGGUAAGACUGACCAGGCUAUAGUAUUCUAGCAAGAAAGCAUCUCCAACAACUUGGUAUUUCAACAUGCUAUCCUACCAAAUUUGCUAAAAGUAUAAAAAUCCUCCUCCAACAACUUCUUAUCUCAACUUGCUAAAUUUUCCAAGUUGCUAUCCAGAGGUUUCUACUGCCGAGAUUUGUCAAGUUAUUAUCCCAAGUUGCUAUCCCGAGCGCAACUUGUUGGAGACACAUAUUCUUUUACCAAGUGAGCGGGUCCCAUCUGUCAUCCUCUAUUUUUACCAAGUGAGAAUAGCAACUUAUUAGAGACACAUCCUUUUUUCUUUUGCUAAACAAAUUAGCAACUUGCUAUAACUUAAGAUUUGACAAGUGAAUUUUAUCAAGAUGUUGGACAUGCUCAACUCCUUUGCCCGACCGCUGUUACUCCUCGCAGUCGCAGGCCUUAUCAUACAUGUUUCAGUUCGCCACCAGGGUUCACCACCUCAUGAUCGUUCUUUAUUGGGCUAUUUGUUGAGGCUGGGCCUAGCCCCAGGUGAGGUAUCCAUGGAUUUUGCAGUGAAAUAUGUUGGGCCAAGAUAGAUUUUUUUUUUCCGGCAGCCGCAGAAGGAAUGCCCUAAGAACAGAUGAGAAAUGGAAGGAAAGCCCAUGUAUUUUGAGAGUACCGUAUGCUGCCAGGCCCGCAUACGGAAUACUCCUAGCACAUCAGGACCUGGACCGCAAAAUAUUUUUUUUUCGCUGACAUCAGCCCUAGCCGUUCUCCCAACCCGUCCCGCCUCCGCACCAGCCAGGAACAAAGCCUCGGCAGCCGUUGGAUCGUUCGCCACGUCAACGAUCCGCGUGCCUGUUCUUGUCACGGACGGCCGGGAUCGUCCGCAGCCCAUCUGCCGAAACCCAGUCCUCCCUCGCCCCCUGUUCGUCCCCGCCGCUUACAAAUUCGCCCAAAAUUUGCCCCCAAUUUUCAUCCACCGAGCACAAAUCCAAUCAGAUCCGAUUUCGUCGAGAUGAAGCCGGCAGUGGAGGUGGAGGCUGACGAGCGAGCGGCGGAAAUUAAGAAGGCAGCGGCGGCCAAGAAAGCCGCUGAGGAGGUUGAGGUGGAGGAGGUGCUGGACGGGGAGGAGGAAGAUGGGGAGGAGGCGGUCGAUGGGGACGAUGACGGUAACGAGGAAGACGAUGGGGAAGGCGGAGAGGAGGACGACGAGGAGGAGGUGGAGGGGGAGGAAAAGGAGGCGGCAGGGGUUGUAGAGAUCUCCGACGAAGAUGACGACGACGACGGGGAGGCGGACGACGACGACGGGGACGACGACGACGACGACGAUGACGACGACGACGACGAUGACGACGACGAAGAGGUCGACGGCGAAGACGAGCAGGAGGUAUAAUUUCUUAAUCUCGUAAAAUUAUUUUACUAUUUUAGUGUCGUUCUGUGCUGCUAGAUCUAUGCUCGUUGUGUGUGUCUGCAGCAAUUUUUUCUCAGAUAAAUUUAGAUCUGCUUAGCUCUUUUUCCACCCCCGCACGGGUUUGUGUGUUCUUUAUUUAGGUCCCUGUAAACUUUACCCGCUGCAAAAAUUAGCAAUGUUCUCGGUCUGCUUUUCCCUGUAAAUUUUACUCGCUGCAAAAAUUCAUUUUUCCUAAAAUUUUAUCUGAAAAAUUUGAAGCCGUUAGAUUUUCCUUGUGCUUUUUGGAGAUGAUGAAUCUUAUCAGAGGCUGUUUCUGAGGCGAGCCAAGAGCUCUCCCUGUGCUGCAAAAGAACUGAUUUGCCGUUCUGAUCCAAAGCACAUGUUGCCUACUUGUUUAGGGUGCGAUUUGUGCGGACUGUUUCUCACAGGGGCCCAGCCAAGAUCCUUUUUUUUUUUAUAUCAGCUUUAUUAUUGUUUGUUUUUGGUAAAUCUAGACGACUUGAAAUUAUCGAUGAGGUUUUCUUGCAGCUCGUCUGCUUUUAGAGAUGAUGAUUCAUAUCAGAGGCUGUUUCUGAGGAUGAGCCAAGAGCUCUCCCAGUGCUGCACAAAAACUGAUUUGCCGUUCUGAUCAAAAGCACUUGCUCUGGUUUCUUCCUUUGUUUCGAAACCCAGUGGCUUCAAUUCCUGGUCAAAUGAAAAGGUAGUUGUCCGAUGCUUUAGAAUCUGUGCUGAAAGAGUUUGGCAUCUUAUCCUACACGCUACGCUUUAGUUGGGAAAUGACGAGAACCCUAUUCCACUGAUGGAAGAUAAUUGUUAUCCACCUCUUGAUUAUACCUUGCACGUCAGUCUGAUCCCAUGCCAGAUCUUCAUCUUUUGUUGGAUUUAGUUGUUUUUUUUGGGUUGAUUGAUCUUUCCUUGGGAAAUUAUCUGUACUGAGGCUGUAUUUGGGAAGUGACGAAUAACUAAAUUCAGAUAUCCAUCCUAUUAUGGAUUUAUGUGUGUACUGAUAUGAUGAAAAUUUGCACGUCAGUCUGAUCCCAUAUAUCUUUUUUUUAUCUGAUCUGAUUUGGUUGAACUGGCUUUACGAAAGGAAAGGCGAAGCUGAUUGGACCUGAUUUGCUUUGAUCUGUACUAUGGCACUUAUUGUUUUGGAAUUUUAAUUUUGCAGGAGGAGCUGGGAACUGAUUAUCUUGUUCAGCCCCUUGGUCGGGCUGAAGACGAAGAGCACUCAAGCGACUUUGAACCUGAUGAAAACGGUGAUGGUGCUGAGGAGGAGGAGAUUGACGAAGAAGAAGAAGAAGAUGCUGAUGAUGGUGCGAAGGCACAGUCCUCUACGAAGAGGAAGAGGUCAGGUGACGAUGAUGAAGACGACGACGGGGAUGAUGAUGGCGACGAUGAUGACGAUGGGAGGCCACCAUCAAAGCGAUAGUUGUGCCCGGAUUUGUCAUCUUCUGGAGAGUGCCAAGAAAGAAAGAAAAUAGAAAUCCUCUCUCGCUCUGCAGAACGCGGGCCGGUGUAGCCUUUUAGGUUUGUAGCUGCUGAAACUUGGUUAGUCGAGUCUUGAGUCCUCCGUGGUAGGUAGUGCAUACUGCUGAUGUUGGUUAGCAGCCAGCCUCUAUCAACUUUGAUGGGUGAUUUGUGAUAGAACCUGAGGCUAAGCUUGUGUAGCGUCUAAUUCGGGUCUGUGGAUGCUUUGUUCCGAAUCGUUCAUAAUUUCUGCUUGCUCUUUGCGUUGUUUGUCUACACUUUUCUCACCCUCCCUCGUAUAGAUGCUCCAAGCUACAGUAGCAACUAGCAACUCAACUUAGGCCCUGUAGCAUGCUCAUUUGGUAGAUAAACUCAACCGAGCAGAGAUAUUUAGAACCUUUUUUAACUGCAAAUAACACUGCCAUUAAGUGGGCAAAUUCAUGUUAUUUUAUUUGAUUUUGACCUCACCACACCAGCACAUACUACUAUUUUCUGGAUUACCAAGGAUUUAUAACCGGUCUAGUUCGCCACAUGCCCUUUUGCAGCCAAGCCUGAAAUAUAUACAUGUCGAAAAUUGGGCACAUUUUAUUUCAAGUGAAGGCCAUCUCUCGUAUGUAGGAGUCCAAAGACUCAUUGGGCUCGGUUGGGCCUGAUCGUCGGAUGAUACUGGGCUGUUUGGCACGAAGAAACGGUUCCGAUUCUGGGCGAGAAUCGCUGCCCACACCUGGAGGACUUUAUCCAUCUAAGGUAUUUUCAAAAAAAUUCAAGAUUCUUCGUUACAUCGAAUCUUGUGGCACAUGCAUGAAAUAUUAAAUAUAGAUAAAAACAAAAACUAAUUACACAGUUUGCCUGUAAAUCGUGAGAUGAAUUUUUUAAAUUUAGUUAGUCCAUGAUUGGAUAAUAUUUGUCAAAUAAAAACGAAAGGCUACAGUGCCCAAAAACUAAAACUUUUGGGAACCGAACAAGACCUAAAUUAUAAGACUUUUAGGCUUUUUUACCCUAGAUUUGACUAUUCAUCUUAUUUAAAAAUAUAUAAAUAUAAUCAAAUUUAAAUAAUUAUUGAAGAAAUUUUAAUAACAAAUCAAGCCACGAUAAAAAAAAUAAUAUUUGAAACAUUGACGAGAGAAUAUGAAGUUGAAAUAUUUUUACAAGGAACACGAAUAUCCAUCAAACACAACCUAAAAAAUGAUAUACGUUCCAAAGAAAAAGAAACAGCUGGCCAAUAAAGGGUUUUUUUUUUUUUUUUUUUUUUUUGUCGUGGCUGGCGCCAUGCCCAUGAGUAUGUGUGUGUAACUGCCCUGGGUAGGCGGGCCAGAUCCACGAGACGUGUGGUGUGCAUGGUGCUUCCUUGGACUAGGCCACUUGGGCAACAAUGGCCAUGGCAUGACGGCCGGCCGGACAGGGACAGGCAUUCGUCCCCACCCCGAGAUCGAGAUCGAGAUCGAUAAUGGCGGCGCGCCUCCUCCUCACGCUUCUCCUCUGCUCCGUCGUCAUUACUGGCGCCUCUUCCCGCAAGAAGAAGACUAGCCUGGCAGUGGCAGUGCCAGUGGCACCACCACCAGACGGCCCGCCAGACCCUUGCGCCGGCCGCCGCAUCCACAUCCGUCGCCUCCCCGCGAGCUUCAACACGCAGCUGCUCCUCUACUGCGGCAGCGGCAGCGGCAGCGGCACGGCGUUCCCGCUGGCGGACCCAGGUGACUCCAAGUGGUCAGUGCCGGCGUGCGCCUCCCUGGCCAACCACGGGCUGGGCCCGCGCACCCACAACGGCACCCGUUCCUGGUACCGCACGGACGCCCGGCUGCUGGAGCCCUUCUUCCACCGCCGCCUGCUGGAGCACCAGUGCCUGGUGUCCCGCCCCGCACAGGCCGACGCCGUCUUCCUCCCCUACUACGCGGCGCUGGACGCGCUGCCCUACGUCCUCCACCCGGACCUCCUCAACUCCUCCGCGCUCCACGGGGUGCCGCUCGCGCGCUUCCUGGCGCACCACCAGCCGCGGGUCCUCGCGCGCCGCCACGGCCACGACCACUUCUUCCUCCUCGCCGGCACCGCCUGGGACUACUCGCAGCCGCACGACGCCGACCCCCGCCUCUACGGCACCACGUCGCUGCUCCGCCUCCCCGACCUCGCCAACUUCACCGUCCUCACCCUCGAGUCGCGCGCCUGGCCCUGGCAGGAGCACGCCAUCCCGCACCCGACCUCCUUCCACCCGUCCUCGCUGCCGCGCCUCCGGUCCUGGAUCGCCCGCGCGCGCCGCUCCCGACGCACCGCGCUCAUGCUCUACGCCGGCGGCGUCUCCAGGCCGUCCAGGCCCAACAUCCGGGGCGCCAUCCUCGCCGAGUGCGCCAACCGCACCACGUCGUCGCCUGAUGUGUGCACCGUCGUCGACUGCUCCGCCGCCGCGUGCGGCCUCAACCCCGUGGCUUACAUGCGGCCCAUGCUCAAGGCCAACUUCUGCCUGCAGCCGCCCGGGGACUCGCCGUCCCGCCGCUCCACGUUCGACGCCAUCGUCGCCGGGUGCAUCCCGGUCUUCUUCGAGCACGCCGCCGCCAGGGCGCACUACGGCUGGCACCUGCCCCGCGGGAGGUACGACCAGUUCUCGGUCACCAUACCCAAGGAGUCGGUGGUGAUGGGGGACGUCAGGAUCGCCGACGUGCUGGCGGCGGUGCCCGAGGACAAGGUCGCCAGGAUGCGGGAGCGCGUGCUGGAGAUGGCGCCCAGGGUGGUGUACCGGCGGCACGGGAGCGCCGCGGAACUGAGAGACUCCACUAGCUAUAGGGACGCCGUCGACCUCGCCGUGGAGGGCGUCCUGAGGAGGAUACGGAGGCGGGUGAGCGCGCUGGAGGACGCCCAACCGGACGCCAUCUACGAGCUGGAGGAGGACGACGACGAUUAGGAUUAGGAUUAGGAUUAGGAUUAGGAUUAGGACGGACAUUCUCAUUUGAGCUGAUCGAGCCAACACAGAUUACAUGCAUACAAUUUCUUCUUCUUUCUUGUAAUAACAAAGAUUUGACUUCAUCAGUGUGUAGUACAACAGCAACAAAGGCAAGCUACGUAGAUUGGAAUUGGAUUGCGAUUCUGAAAUCUGAAUGCGCCAACACAUUACAUGCAUGCUCAAGACGGCGACGGCGGCAUUGAUCAAUGAUGAUCUCUCCGUCACAGAUACAUACUACAAAGACGGUACCAGGCGCCGGAUCGAAUCGAAGAGGGAGGAUAAAGGCAUCGUGAAUCAAGGAUCAAGCCUGACAAACUUUGGAGUUUCGGAAGUGCAACUCUUUUGUGAACCUGUGUACUGUAGGUCGUCAUACACUCGGAGACAGGGGCGUACUGUGUACGUAUUUGGAUGCAGUGUAUCUCUGAAUUGUACUUUCCAUUUCUUCCUUAAGUUGUGUUUCCGUUAUGAAAUGGGUUCGCUCCAUUAAAAAAAAACCAAACACUUUUAUCUUUUUUUUUAAAAAAAUUAUUGCACACUAGAUUUGAUCCAACAAAUUUAAAGCACGAUGAACGGUGUACACAUCUUGGAUAAUGUAGGCACAAACAAAACCUGCACAUAUAUUCAGACGUUCGUGAUGCAGCUGAAGAUGAGUUUUGGUGUUGUCGAUUAUGAGUUGUCCCUUGUGAUCAUUGUAGCAUAUGACAUGCACAUUCGUAGCACCAGUGGUCUAGUGGUAGAAUAGUACCCUGCCACGGUACAGACCCGGGUUCGAUUCCCGGCUGGUGCAUGAAUUUUUCUGCCCUGCUCUCAAUUUUUUUAAUUUAAAAGAAAAGGAAACAAGCUGAAGCGCCUUGCACGGUAUACGUCAUUGUCUUUCAUUUUAAAUCAUUUUUGCCGUGACCUGAAAUUAUUUUUCUUAUAAAGAGAAGAAACAAGCUGAAGUACCUUUCACGGUAUACAUCAUUGUCUUUCAUUUUAAAUAUUUCCCUUUUUGGAUCGGAUAGAUUGACUGGAUCAGGUGCCCUUAUAGGAGGAGGAGUAUAUGCAAAUGCAAGCAAUAAUUGUCUGUUCUGCUUCCAAAUUCCAAUUACAAGAAAUGCUAUGCUAAUUAUUACGAUAUACGAGUAUUUGUUGAAAGUCUGAAUUGCUUGUUACUUACCCAAUUGCAAUUACAAGUAAUUGUUGAAGUCUUGGUACGCUUGUUCCAGCAAAUGGUGAUCGUCCCACUCGUCUCUGUACGUCUCCGGGCACUGGAGCUUCUUCUUCCUGGUGGCGUUGAACAUGUCCUUCCUCCACUCCUCCACUGUGCGUGUGCCGGCUUCCCCGCCGCACUGGCACUGCUCCGCCAGCCACUCGUCGUACUCGAACUGGCUGUGCUUCAUGCAGUGCGUGUACCUGACGGGCCAUCCCAUGACCUCCAGCUCCGAGUAAAGCGCCCUCACGUCUUCCAUCAUCUCCUCCUCCGACGGGAGCUGGAUCCGGCCCGACAGAGCGCCGGCGACCCAGCUGGCCUGCAGCUGGAACAUCGGGAACGGGAUCACCUUGAAGGGCAGGCCGAUGAAGGCGAGGUGGGGAGCCAGCUGAGGCACGAACACGUGCUUGUACAGCGGGUGGAUGCGGUUGUCAUCCACGGAGACGACCGCGGUAUCGCCAUCGCCCGCCGCCGUCAGGAGGAAGGGGAAGCUGUACUUGUAUCCGGUGCAGUGCAUGACGACGUCCGCUCUGACGGAGCUGCCGUCUCGGAACACGACGGUGGUGCCGUCCGCGUCGGCACGCUCCACCAUGGAGCGGAGCCAGAGGUUGCGAUAGCCGGGGAGCCUCCGGCAGGUGGCGGCGGGGGCCCAUCUGUCGGCCAUGUGCACCUCCCUGGCCACGCCGGCGAUUUCCCUGGAGAUGUCGGCGCCGCUGUUGCUGGCACCGACUAUGACCACGACCUGGUCCGCGAACGGGCCCGGCACGCGGUAGCUGUGGCUGUGCAUCUGCUUGCCCGGCGGCCAGGCGUCCAGGCCGGGGAUGUCGUCGGCGGCGGUUCGCGGCUCCGUGUAGUGGCCGUUGCAGACCACGACGGCGUCGAACACCUCCUCCUCCUCCUCCUCCUGCUCACCGGCGGCGGCUGCGUUCCGGCGCCACCUCACCCUCCAGCUGCUCCCCUCGUCGUCGUCCUUGGUGGUGACGGCGAGCACCUCCGUGCGGAGGCGGACGAGGCCGUCAAGGUGGAACCGGCGCGCGAAGGCCUGGAUGUAGCGCAGCACCUCCUGGUGGCGAGGGAACCUGCGCGCGUCGACGGAGUCCGAAGCGGCGGCGAAGGGGAAGUCGAGGAAGCCCAUGAUCUCGCGUGGCAGGUUGGUGCGCAGGGACGCGUACAUGCUGCUGCUGCGGUGGUCGUAGAGCCAGGUGCCCCCGACUGCGUGGCCGCGCUCGAACACGACGGUCGCGUGGCCCUCGCGCCGCAGCUCGCGCGCGGCGGCCAGCCCCGCGGCUCCCGCACCGAUGACGGCGACGCGGAGAGAGCGCGGCGGCGGCAUGGCCAUGGCGUUGUGUGAAUUGUGAUUGAUGGACAUCUCUCUCUCCGGUCUCCGCUGAGUGGAGGUGAUGCGAUCGCCAGUCGCCAGUCCGCCACGGCCCACGGCCACGUUGUGUUUGUCCUUUCUGUGAUGGGAAAUUUAUUUAUUAUAUUUUAAUAACAUAUAGGGCCUGUUUGUACAGCUCAGAAGAGCUUUAUGAGUGAAUCUGUUUUUCCUCUCCUCUCACAAAGAUAUAAGUUGGAUGAAGCUGAAAAAAGUAGCUUAUUGCAAAUUCUCUCUCUCAACUAUACAUGAAGCAGUUGGUGAAGCUAUUUUUACCAAAUACUUUUUCCAAAACAGCUCAGCUUGAUCUAAAAAGUUGCUCAUGAAGCUAUUUUCUAAAAAAUCAGCUUUACUAGUGAAGUUGAGUUGUGGCAAACAAGCCCGUAGUAUUAUACUCCAUCGUUAUAGUUAUCGGAAAAAAUUUAAAUAAAUAUAUAUUAAAAAAUAUUAUUAUUUUGAUUAACUUUGAAUUAAGAUUUGUUUGACAUAGCUCAACUUCAUUAGUAAAGUUAUUUUUUUAGAAAACAACUUUAUGAGCAACUUUCUAAGUGAAGUUGAACUGUUUUGAAAAACAGUAUUUAGUAAAAUAACUUAACCAACAACUUCAUGCAUAGAUGAGAGAGAAAUGAGUGAAAAAGCAACAAUAAGCUACUUUUUUCAGCUUUAUCUCAACCCAUGUCUGUUAUGAGUUGUACCAAAUAGACUCCUAGUUUUUCUAAUAAAAUUAUUUAAAGAUAUAAAUACUGUAUGUAUUUUCUAUAAAUCUAAUCAAAUUUGCGACAUGAAAAUCCAAAAGGACAGUUAUUUUGGGACUGAGGGAGCAUGCUCCAAUAUAGGAAUACUUUCUCUAUAUCUAUAAAGAAAGUCAUUUAGGAUAACGACAUGAUCUCCAAAGUCUAAUUUUGACUUCAUAUUUUUAUAAAAAUAUUUCUCAAAAAGUUGUAUAUGUAUAUGUUUAUAAAAAUAUUUUUUAAAACAACUAUUUAUAUGGUUUUUAUAUUUCUAAACUCAACAACUUAAAAAUUAUUCAUAAUUUAUAUUUUUAAUGUUUAACUUAAACUUUUUCAAAACGACUUAUGGUGAAAAUACUACAGGAGCUGUGUGUUUUUUGCUGUUAUGUGCUCUCCAAAAAGGUUCUUGGCCGAAUGAAAAGGUACGAGAGUGUAAAUCUGCACCAAAAAGUAUAAGAGCGAUCCAAGAGUUUUUAGAAAUUUCACUCUCUAAACCAUCAUUUAGAGAAUUAUUUUCAUAAAAAUCGUUUUUUAUAUUUUUCACUCUUCAAUAGCUUUUAUAUCUCUCUUGCGUACUUUAGAGAGUCAUUCUCGUCUUCUAUUUUUGGUCAACGAAAAAUUCGAAAUAAAAGAUGGCUAUAUUUACAUAACCAUUUAGACAAGCUGUUGGAGGAUAUUUUUUCACCAAAAUCUUUAUUCUUAUUUAAGAAUAAUUUAGAGAGUCUCUUGAAAUUGCUCCUACGGUCUUGUUUAGAUCCAAAAGUUUUUUAGAUUUAGAUACUGUAGAACUUUUAUUUUUAUUUGAUAAUUAUUAUCUAACCAUAUAUUAACUAGGUUUGAAAGACUCUUCUCAUAAAUUAUAGAUAAAAUGUAUAAUUAAUUAUUUUUUAUCUAUAUUUAAUAUUUCAUGCCUGUAUCAUAAGGUUCGAUAUGAUAAAAAAUCUUGAUUUUUUUUAAAAAAAUUUGGAUGGUAAAUAAAGCCUACGCACUAAACAUAUUGACGGCGACCACGAGAACAAGGACAACAUCAAGAAUUCAAGUGACUUCUGCGAUGUAACAAGGCUGCAAAACAACAAUUGGUCCUGCAACUUUGAAUUGAAGGCUAUAAAGUUUUUUUUUCCCAUUCCUUCCUUCGUACUAGCUUAGAGUGGGCAUUCGCUUCUUUAUUCGGUAGUUUGGUUCCGGUUCUAACUAAACUAACUAUUUUUUUCAGCAAAAAUUAAUACAAAUAUGUAUAUUUUAAAGCAAAUAUAAGCAACACUACCUCUAAUUUAGAUGAUAAUAAUAAUAAUAAUAAUAAUAAUAAUAAUAAUAAUAAUAAUAAUAAUAAUAAUAAUAAUAAUAAUAAUAAUAAUAAUAAUAAUAAUAAUAAUAAUAAUAAUAAUAAUAAUAAUAAUAAUAAUAAUAAUAAUAAUAAUAAUAAUCGCUAAGAGAGCAAUAGCAAUAUAGUAACACAAAUAUAUAUCAAUUCAGUAUGAAAUAUUACAUAAAAAUCAAACUUUGUCUUACCAAAUAGUAAGUGAGUAAAAUUCAUAAAUUUUGGUUCUUCCAAUUAAUUUGGUUAUCCGAGAGUAGAAACUGAAUUUUUCACGAUUAUUUCAGUUCUUCAAAAUUUAGAACCGAAUAAGAAAUUAAUUUCUUGGUUCCUUAGAAAAUAAGAAGCAGCUGCCAACUGAGACCAGACGACCGUAGUCUGCAGGCCAUGGCGAUGAGAUGACGACGUGCGGCGGUCCAGGUCCAGCAAACUGCAAACUGUGGUGGAAGCAGGCCGAGGCUAGUUCUGCAGGCUGCAAGUAACUCUUGCACAAGUUGGGCUGUAGCCCAUGCAAAACCACAUCGUUCCACAGGUUGCAGGCAGGGGAUACAACCCUCUAAUUCAUGUCCUCCUGUUGCAAGUGGGUAACAUAAAAAUCGGAGCAUGAGUGGCCUUCCAUCCAUGGAUAGAAUUGCACAGACACGUUGGACUAUAAAUCCUUUGCAGACGAGAUACUGGUGAAGACAUUAACUCAAUCUAAAGUAAACCUUAUAUGAUCAUAUAAGAGACCGAUCUUUUAGAGACGAACAUCUUCAAAUAUCCAUGUUUGAGCUAUUAACAGAUGUAAGUCAUUUUAGACGUCUACGGAAUUUAUGGAGGCGGACGUCUUAAGAUGUAUGUCUCUAUAAAUAGCUGUAAUAAACAAUAGUUAUAACUUUUUAUAUGAACUUGAAUCAAAACAAACUUUUAUAUCAAACUUGUAUUCUUGACGUGAUCUACAACUUUAUAAUUAAAAAGUUUUUGAUUGAAGCUGUUGGCAUGAUCUAUACUAACCUAUAACCCUGUACUUCAAGUUGAAGUUAUUUAGGGUCCUAAAUAUGUGUUGUAAGUUCAUAGAUUUUAAAUUUUAAAAUUCCUAAAUGAUCUUGAAUAUUCACAUGGUUUUACCAAAGUUGUAGUGGCAGACCCAAUGUACAUGUUUUUUUUGUAGAUAUAAGUUUCUAAUUUGAAGUUUUCUAGUCUCAAAUAUCUAUUUUAAAUUCAUAUAUUUUGAGACCCAUAUUUUAAAAUUUUCAAAUAAUCACGGACGGAGACACAUCAUAUACCAAAAUUAUAGUACUAAUUUAAAACUUCAUAGUUGAUUUUUUUUAUUUGAGUUAGCUUAGUAGUCAAAAUAUUUAAUACAAGAAUAUGAAAUAUUUGUAUAAAAAAGAUAGAGUCUUAUAUAUAAUCACAAGUGAGUGUGUGGUGUACUGGUAGCGGAAUGUCAAUGCCCAGCGUGAUAGGUCGCUCGCUCAACUGCUGAGUUAACAGGCGCGCUAAGCCGGAGGCAGUACGCAUUCGGAAAUCGAAAACGACCAUGUGCAUCUCCAUCUUUGAAAAUGGACGUACUCUGUGGUAGGGAUGAUGCAUGGUAGGGGCGGGGGAAAAAAUAAACGUGUGGAAGCAAUGAAAGAUGCCCUUUAAAUGAUCUGUAGCCGAAGAAAUUGAAAUCGGCGCUCAUGUCAUUGUUGGUGUGUGCGUGUGAUUAUUGAGACCUUGUUUAGUUGGGAAGGUGAGAAGUUUUUGGGUAUUAUAGUAUUUUUAUUUUUAUUUAAUAAUUAUUAUCUAAUUACUAAACUAACUAGGUUUAAAAAAUUCGUCUCGUAAAUUUAAACUAUAUAAAUAGUUUUUUUUCAUCUAUAUUUAAUAUUUUAUAUAUUGAUAUGAAAUUUUUUUAGAUUUUAAGGUGAAGUAAGGCCUGGUGUGUAGGACUGUAGGAGGAUUAGGAAUGACACGACGCGCGCUGUGACUGAUGGAGUGCUGGCUAGCUGCCUCUCAUCUCAUCUGCUACAUAGUACUGCCUGUUGCUUGGUCGCGAAACGAAGAGAGGAGCGCAGCGCGUGAAUAUCACAUGGGGUGCACGUGGAUCAUCACCAUGCUCUUUGUUUUUUCUUUUGACAAGUCAUCAUGCUCUUUGGUUGUUUUCAGCAGCAGUGGUACGUAGUGCACUCCCCUGAGCGUACAUGCAUUGCAGUUAUUAGUGUUGAUUUAAGUUAACUUAGGAAAAGAACGAUGCAUACUAUCGAACAAUAAAGCAGCCGAUAUAUAUAACAUAGAGGCUCACAUAUUUCUAAGCCCCUCUCUAAAUCAUAAUUUAUAGAGUAACUUAUAUAAUUCGCUUUUUAUAUCUAGCGAAUUAGAUAUUCGCCUCUCAUGUGCACUCUAGUAAGUCAAUCUCGUUUUCUAUCUUUGACUUGUGAGAAAUCUGAAAUAAUAGAAAAUUUCUAUAUUUAUAAAGAAGUUGGAGAAUAUUUUUUCAUCAAAAUAUCUACUUCUAGCAAUUAGGAAGGGUAUAGACAUUCUAUUGGAGUUGCUCUAAGCAAACAUUAGUUAUUGUUUCAAGUCCAAAAUAUUUAAAUCUUAGGUGAUUCAUAAGAUGUGUUGAUGCAAAACUGAUCUGCAAACACAAAGUGCUAAUACCCGAUUCAAACGUUAAGGCGUGCCAGCCGAUUUGACCUUACUAUCGGCAAAGGUGAUAACUCGAAUACUUUAGUCCUGACAACAGCGAUGCGCCCGGAUGUCACGGCUAAGAGAUACUCACGCGGAACUCGAGAACACGCCGAGCUUAAGUCGACAAAUUCCUAAGAACUCGUAAUAAAAGGAAAAAGUAUGACGAAGUCGUCGAAAAGUAGAUGUUGGAAUAUGAGUAAAAACGUGUGUUUGAUUGAUUUCUUGAUUCAUUAUUACAAGGCCCUAGGGUCUAUAUUUAUACCCUGCUCAAAGAGCUACAACCAGACACGAUUAGAAUUCGAAUUCCAAAUUACACGGAAUCCGUAUACAAAACGACGCAAAUAAUUAAGGAAAUAACAAAACUAUCCCUCGUGACAAACCGAAACUCCUCCACAUAACGACCGGCAGCUUCCAGACUCCUCCUUUGCAUCAUCGGCAGAUCCUUUGCCGUAGUCAUCGGCAGACUUUCUUAUCUAGCCAUCGGCACCAUAUUACUGCCUGUGGACUUAGUCACAUUCAACUUCCCCCUCAUCGGCAACCAUCCUCAUCGGCAACCCGCUUUGUAAACAUCGUACUGCCACCUUAUCCUGCCAUCCUAGACACGUGCCCAAAAACGGUGUCAACACAUGCCCCCCAGUUUCGGAGUAUAAAACUAUUAAUGCUCCGAAAUUCUCUGCAGUAACGAUGCCUUCUCCCGCAAUUAAUGCUCCUAAUCUGGUAACCGACAACCUCAAUCUGGACAACUCUGAUCCUAAUCCUCCGCAGAUUCCUCGAAAUCCCCAACUUCCUAAACGGGCAUUUUUCUCAGUCGUACAUCGGCAACAAUACCGUUACAAAGAUCUGCCGAUGCUCUGACCAGGAUAUUCGCAAAAACGGUUACUUCCCCCCUAUCCGCCCAUCGGCAAGAUGACCGUUAUAGAAUAUCGCCGAUGGACCGACCAGGAGAUCUCGCACAGUAAAAUAUCUUCAGAUAAUGACCGCUUCCCAUCAAAUCACCUGCAGAAUCCCUGGAUUACCGUGCGAACAGUUACCAUAUCCACCUGAGUACCCUCGGG